rnacentral:rRNA from 1 species
GAUGAACGCUGGCGGCGUGCCUAAUACAUGCCAGUCGAGCGAACAGACGAGGAGCUUGCUCCUCUGACGUUAGCGGCGGACGGGUGAGUAACACGUGGAUAACCUACCUAUAAGACUGGGAUAACUUCGGGAAACCGGAGCUAAUACCGGAUAAUAUAUUGAACCGCAUGGUUCAAUAGUGAAAGACGGUUUUGCUGUCACUUAUAGAUGUAUCCGCGCCGCAUUAGCUAGUUGGUAAGGUAACGGCUUACCAAGGCGACGAUGCGUAGCCGACCUGAGAGGGUGAUCGGCCACACUGGAACUGAGACACGGUCCAGACUCCUACGGGAGGCAGCAGUAGGGAAUCUUCCGCAAUGGGCGAAAGCCUGACGGAGCAACGCCGCGUGAGUGAUGAAGGUCUUCGGAUCGUAAAACUCUGUUAUUAGGGAAGAACAAAUGUGUAAGUAACUAUGCACGUCUUGACGGUACCUAAUCAGAAAGCCACGGCUAACUACGUG